GAAUGGUCGGGAUAGCUCAGCCGGUAAGCAGAGGACUGAAAAUC
rnacentral:tRNA from 1 species